rnacentral:rRNA from 1 species
UACAGAGGGGGCAAGCGUUGUUCGGAAUUACUGGGCGUAAAGGGCGCGUAGGCGGCCUGUUAAGUCGAACGUGAAAUCCCUCGGCUUAACCGGGGAACUGCGUCUGAUACUGGAUGGCUUGAGUGUGGGAGAGGGAUGCGGAAUUCCAGGUGUAGCGGUGAAAUGCGUAGAUAUCUGGAGGAACACCGGUGGCGAAGGCGGCAUCCUGGACCAUUACUGACGCUGAGUGAGCGAAAGCCAGGGGAGCAAACGGG